rnacentral:lncRNA from 1 species
GCUAACUCAACUGUUGCAGCUGCAAUCACAGUUAUUAAUAGGAUGGUUGUUGAAAACAAUCUAGAAAAAGGGAGUGCUUUGUGGUGUUUUGCACCUACUCUGAUUGAGAAUGAAGUGAGACGGGACAUUUUUAUGAACAUUGAGGAUGAUGAUGGAAGGAAAUCUUGGUUGAUGUAUAUGCAGGCUAAUCAGAAGUGAUUUCAAUUAGUGUAUUUUUAGUGGAUAUGUAAUAUUUAAAACUUCUAUGAGCAUCAUAUGUUUGAAUUAUGAGAUGGGAACUAUGUGUUUCCUUUUUUUUUUUUAAUCAUGAGAUAGAAAUUAUUUAUUUUUUAUUUCUGAAUGAUUGUUUUUAUAUGGUUAUGGAUGUUUUAUAUCGUUCUUUUACUAGUAGGUAAUCAUGGAUGCCGAACGAAAGAAAAAAAGAAAAAGGCAUGCACUUUUUUGGAGUGUGACAUCUUGUGCAAUAGGUGCAAUAGCUACAUAUUACUAUAAAUAUAUUUUCAAAAAACCAUGCAGGAGAAAAUUGGGUGCCAGAGAUACUAAAUGGGCAUCCUGUUCGAUGUUUAAAUGCCUUUAGAAUGGAGCAAAACUUAUUUAACCAAUUAUGUGAAGACCUACAAUCCAAAUAUGGAUUGAAGGCAAGUAAAAGAAUGUCAGUGCAUCAAAAAGUGGCGAUAUUUUUAUAUAUACUUGCAAGGGGUGCCUCUAAUAGGGAUGCUAGAGAGCGAUUUCAACAUUCUGGCGAGACUAUUAGUAGAGCAUUUCACGAAGUUUUGGAAGCCAUUAGUGGUAGGAGCAAGGGAUAUAUGGGACUUGCACGUGAUGUUAUAAAACCAAAGGAUCCAACUUUUCAAUUUGUGCCACCACAAAUUGCUGAUGAUGAGCAAUACAUGCCCUAUUUCAAGGUAAAUACUAAAAUAUAAAUAGUUUUUUUUUCAUCUCAAAAUGAGCAGCUGAUUUAACUUGUUAUCAUAGGAUUGUAUUGGAUGUAUUGACGGGACCCAUAUCCCUGCAUGUAUUCCGGAGGCAGAUCAAAUGCGUUAUAGAGGAAGAAAAGGAAUCCCUACCUUCAAUGUCAUGGCCAGUUGUGAUUUUGAUAUGUGUUUCACAUUUAUAUCAGUUGGAUGGAGGGAUCAGCACAUCACACACGUGUUUUCCUUCAUGCAAUCAACACACCAGCAUUAAACUUUCCAAAGCCACCACAAGGUA